AAGGCUUAAAAAUUCUCCUUAGGCCACGAGGAGAAGGAGGAGGUGCCGUGUUCUCUCCUGAGCUUGAAGCUGCCUUUAGGUGUUGUUUCCACAAGUACCAAUCGCCUUUGAUGAUCAUUCUUCUCCUCCUUUGGAGGAGUAAGCAGGAGGGGAUGCAGUCUGA
rnacentral:snoRNA from 1 species